AAAACGAGCGAACAAUGAGCGGGAAAUUUUGAAUAACUGGUAUGGGGACGGAAGAGUGUUUUAAAUUUACGGCAACACACCAACAUAGAAAUGGCAAUACAACAUGAACGACUAGCUAGAAGGAUUUUAAACAGUGAUUACGUGUUCUCAAAUAAAUGGAAAUUUCUACAUAUUUUUUUUUAUAUUUUUCUUAUACUGUGUAUUACUGUUGAUUCGAUGAAGGAUCUGGGCAGAGACUUUCAUUUGAUGCUCACAUGCUGACAUGCAGAAACCUUUGUUUCAAAAGCUAAUAGGCUAGCAGCUAUGAUUUCUCACAGGCAGGGUGGUAGCAGUGAAGUGGUCCAGGACUGAACCUUAAUUUGUAACCUUAUGUAUGGAUGGAAACUUCAGGAAUUGAUUUCAAACAUUAGUAUAGUUAUAACCACUGAGUACAACAAAGCUUCAGAUGUGAAGAUCUGCUAUACCUGCAGACGUCUCUACCUACAUGUAUCCGAGACUAGUCUCUAUAUAUUCAUCAGAGAACACACAGAAAACGAUCUUAUCAUCCCCGACAUCGAGGUAUCAUCUAUCACCGCAAGAAUCGACCUGAUGUCGACAAAGAAUUAUACCUAACUGAAUACGAUCGUUGGCUGCCGUAUAUGCAUCAGGUUGUAAAGGCCCCGGCUUACACAUCGCCAUCCUUGCAGCCUUGACAGCAAAGAAUGGAACAGAUUUUCAUCAGGAGGCGAUGGCGAGUCAGGUGGAUAGGAGAAUGUUUCAGGUGGAUAAGAGAAUGUUUUGCUUGGAAAGCAUCCGCAUGUGUAUUAUUUCGGUGAAGUGAGAUCUGACGACAUUGACCGGCAAAUUUGAUUUUCUUCUUGGAGAGGAUCCAGUUUUACCAUGAGAACGAUGUGGAUGAUAAUUAUGGACAUCGAUCGACGAAUAUACCUUUGCGAUACAUGGUUAGAUGGUUUGAAAGUUCAUCACCCGAUGCUGUACGUCUUUAAAUGCACAAGCAAAAUGUUCGCAUUAUACCUACGCUUCUUAGCAAUAGCUUAAUCGUCAAGUAAAGCAAAUGCUAUUACGCAGUUAGCAAUUGCUUGAGCUUACUAGCAAAAGCGUUUGCUCUCUCAUUUUUUAUGUAUACGGAAUCAAGUAAAUGCCAAGUAAAAGCCAUGGAAAAGGCGAGCAAAAACAAUUGCUACAUUUUAUGUAUCUGACCCAAUGGUUCAGAUGCAUAAAAAGUAGCAAUUGGAGUAUUUUCAAUAUAUAUCUACCUAUACACUGCCCGUGAUGUGAUAAUUACUCACCCCUCUUGAAAGAGAUUUUUGGACCCGGCCAUCCUGUCUUCCAACUACAGAAAAUUUGCCUGCUCUUUUCGCUCGCUUGCAUAUGAAAUGAACUAUAAUUCAUUACUUUACAUCACAACAGAUCCAUUGCAAUACAGCCAUCGAACAAAAAAUAAUUGUUUGUUACUGAAAGAUGGCAGUAUUAUAUACCCCGUACACAUAACCUGGUGUGUGGGUGUAUCCACAAUUUCGAAUUUCAGGUCAAUAUAUCCCCAACUGCUUGGACCAGAUUUACGCCAGUGCUCCAAAUGAUGUUAACAUGAGAUCCAGAGUAUUUCCAAGAUGUGAUAUUUUGCUAGUAUAAGACUUCACAAAUCCAGAAACAACUAUUUCAAUAGCUGGGUAGCACUUUUAUGUCAGAAUAUUCAAUAGGUGGACUGAUGAAUCCAAAUUUAUAUUUUCAUUUUCUCACUAUUUACAUAUCAAGUGUGUAUAUUUUCAUUGCAACGAUGAUUAUCUUGCACAUGAAAUCGGGUCUCAAUCCAUUUUUUUUAUUUACGGAAAACAAAAUUGGAAUUGAUAUAAUUCCAUAUAAUACGAUAUAAUUUUUUCAUAUUAAGACAAUGGGAAUAUCAUGAGCUCAUUGAAUAUUCAUAAAUACAUGCAUAAAACUGUAAAGCCGACAUAAUUCAAAACUAUAUUAUUCAUUGUCCGAUUUUGAUAAAAACUUUAAAUGUUUUGUUAUUAUUUUCUUACCAGUCAGAGUACCCAUUUGAAUUUAGGCAUUUUAAAAUUAACUUGUAUCUUGCGAAAGAAAUGAAUUCCAUGUAUUAUUUAUUUGUCUAGUUUUUUUUCAUACUUAGUUAUAUGUAAAUAUAUUUAGUUUGAAGUUGGCACCUGACAAAUCCCAAUUUUAACGAAAAAUAUAUGUCAUGAACGCAUAAUCAUUAUAUAUGGUUGGAAGGAAUAUCAUUCUUCUCCCAAAUAAUUUUGAUAUCAUAUUUAGGUGGUAUGUCUUCACGCUUGGAUAAUCAGUGUAUUCUUUGAAGUGAUUUUGAAUGCGCUAACGUAAGGCAUGACUGCAAUGAACGAAUCCAGAUGCCAGUGUUCUAUGAGUUAGUAAACAUAAUAUGCAAAUCUCUGUUUAAAGAAAUUAACGAGAGAAUCGAUACUAAAAAGUUUUUAUAGACAACUGUAAUGUAUUUUUUUGCAAGAAUGUUUUGAAAUGGAUUUUAAUUCAACAGUUGUAGGAUUAUGACGUUGACAUCGACAUUCAUUCUUGUCUUACUUUGGCUCAAAUCAAAAUUUAUGUGUCUCGCCUGCAUAGUGAAAGCGAGGUAUAAUAAGCGCCACUUUUCCGAAUGCGUGGGAUUAUUUUCAAAAACUUAACCAAAGGCUAUAAGAUUAAGGUAUAUAAAAAUAUAUAUUUCAACGGGCUGGAUAUAUCAUUGUCACAAAGUUAACACUAUUGCCAUAUUGAAUUGCGUAAGGCAGACGAGACUGCCAGGGGCCUUCUGUUUGUUA